AAAGUAAACCGGGUUUAAUAAAUUCCAGAAUUUCAUUUUAGUGCAGUAGGACCAGGAAGCAUUGUCUAUCUCUGUAGCUGGGGAAGAAUUUGACAGACGUACGGUUGCCAUGGAAAACAUUUGCAUCAGAGGAACGAGCAAAGUGUUCAAGUUGGCGUUAACGUUACUUAACGUCAAAUUAAUCUCUUAAAUUGUUAUUAUCUAAGCGUGAUAUGUAUGUUUGGCCGCUAAAUGUCGUGUUGACUGUGAAGUAACGUUAGAACAUUACGAGCUCAAACGGCUGCCUACUCAUUCUGCAGAGGCCUACCGUCGAGUGCCACGUUAAAGCUUCUGUAUCAUGGUGUACUGCGGUUCCACCAUGCAGUCAGAAGAGGACAGUGGAAUAGGAAACCUAGAGGCCCAGCUGGCCUGUAAAGAGAGGGAGUGGAAGGAGCUCCAGGCUGCAAGGUUUCACCAACUGGAGAAUUCCCUCAAAAAGGCCCAGGAGGAGUGGUCUUCCCUCAGUGAACGCCACCUGCAACUGAGGGAAGAUUUCCAGUUCAACCUGGCCAUCCUGGAUGAAAGAGACAGAGAGCUGGAGAGAUAUGAUAUCAUAUUUGCCAAAGCUUUGACUGUGGAGCACAACAGGCAGGAGGAACUGAAUCAGCUCCGUAUGCAUGUUGGCAGACUGGAGGAGCAGAGAGCCAGAGAGAUCGAGGAGAGGCAGGAAGAGCUCAAUAAAAGUGCUGCUCAGUACAGGCUGCAGCUGGAUGAGCUCAAGCGCUCUAUGGCUGGUGAAAUUCAACAGCAAAAGAAGGAGUACGAGAGGAUGAAAUCGGAUUUGCAGUGCAUGAUACAAGAGGUGGAAGCAGUGCUAACCCUACAGAGACAGGAGAUGACAGCAGCUUUUGACAGUGAGCUCAGACAGCGGGAGUAUGAGUUCAACUUGAAAAUGGAUGAGAUGCGUGCUGUGGAGUUGUCUUGUGAUUUGAAGGUGAAGCUGCUCUCUAAAGAAACUGAAAUUCACUGUCAGGCUCAGCUCCAGGCCACAGAGGCUCUUAAAGCAUCCAAAGAGUUCUGUCAGAAAAUUCAAACCAAGCUGCAACUUAAAGACCAGGAGAUCAAAGACCUCACUGCUGUCAAGGACUACAGAAUAAAGGAGCUUGGGGAUGAGCUGAAAUGGAUGGAGAACAAACUGAAGAUGCAGGAAGACGACCACAUUAAGAAAUAUGAGGAUGUGGUCUGUGCUCUGAAGGAGUAUGAUUUGCAUCUGGAGGCUCAGUGUCAGGGCCACACAGAGCAGCUGCAGAAGGCUGAGAAACAAAUUGUCAUACUACAGGAGAAUAUGGAAGUUCUGGCUGCACAGACACGCUCCAAAGAGGAAGACCAGCAGGAGGCCAUGGAACAGAAAGAUGAGACGAUCCAAAGCCUUCGCAGAGAGUUAGAUAAAACCCGGACAGGCUGGGACAGAUACAUCAGUCAGGUCUCUAGUGAGAUGGUUUUCAAGGACACAGAGAUAAUCACCCUGCGGGAGAGCGAAACCAAACUUAGGACCGAGUUGGAGAGGUGCAGGGAGGAGAUGGAGAGGUACAAGCAGCAGCUGAGUGCUAGUCUGAAGAGAGAGAGGGCCUUAAAACAGAUGCAAAUCCAGGUGGAACUGGAGUGGCAGAGACGCUGUGAGGACAUGAAGGUUGAACACUGUCUUGCUAAUGAACAGCUAAUACAAGAGCUGACCCAGGCUAGAGAUCAGGCUAACGCAGAGCUGAAAGAGAAAGAACAAGAGCUGCAGGACCUUACUGUCUUACUACACUGUGUUAAAAAAGAGGGAGUCCAGGCAACACAGGAUCUCACACCAAAUGUUGAUUCUCCGGCAUCAGAAAAGAUUCGUCAUCUGCAGGAGCAGAACAGCAUCAUGCGGGCCGUGAUUACCCACAUGAGGAAGGACAUGGAGGGCCUCAGCCAUCUCCUACCCCAUCCCCAGGCUCAGCCACAGGCCUCCUCUGCUCAGCCAGUUCAUCAUCCAGGAGCCCCUGCCACCAGCUCCAUUGCCCCUACAGCUAACACUCAGAUGGCAGCAGGUGAUCUGUGCCUGGAGAAAUGCGCCAACCCCUCUGCUUUGACAAAGCAGGAGUUCACAGUUGCACAUUCAGAAUCUGCUUGCGCCAACAUCAUAGAACAGAGUGCACUGGUGCGACAGCUACAAGACCACCUGUGUUUGCGGCAGCAGCAGUCCUCAGGUCUGAUGCACGGUGAUGUGUUUGAAAAUGUCCAGGGUGCUAAAAGCAGCCUUCCUCUCCUGCGUACCAGGCUGAAGCAGGCAGCGUUCUGUAUCGCCCGUCUGAGCAGAGAGAAACAGCAGCUGAUAGAGAUGGGGAAUCACCUCCGUGCCCAGAUCACCACUGCUGGACUACAUGAACCAGAGAAGGACUCUUCUGCAGAGAAACAAGGAGACCAACAUGACCGGCUGUCUGCUCUGGAACAGCUGCAGUACCAGCUCACCACACAGGAGCUGCAGUAUGCUUUGAGACAGAGGGCUUGCACUGAUCUCAUCCUCACUGAAACCAGCAACCGAGGUCCUGCAACAAAUGGGGCUGCCAACCCCUGGUCCCUGGGGCGCAAAACCACAGACAGGCCUGAGAUAGAUGGAUGGAUAGAUCUAUAUAUACGUAAAAACAAUGACUGUCCAGCUCUCUUCUUCAGACAUCCAAGAACAAAGAGACCACUCCUCCAAUCAGUCAGUCACAAAACUCAUUGGACAUGGGGCCACAUCCCCUUUCAGGUCUGACAAGGUCUGAGUUGUCAUCAGAGGAAUCACUGCGGUUGUUAAAGGAGCUGUGGGAGAUACUCGACCAUGGACUCAGUCCCUCUGUCUUCUCAGAAGAUGAGCUGAGCUGGAGGGAGAUGGCUGAGUCGGGUGGUGAUGGAGUCCAUCCCCCAACCAAGGUCCAGCAGAGUACGAACCCCUUUACAUCUCCAUCAAAGCACUAGGAGGAUCAGCAAGAUCAGAAAUUACAAUGUCUGACACACAUACAGGACAGUCUGUCAGUAUAUUGGUCAUGGUUAGCACUACUGGAUCGGUUCAAUCUUCUAUGUCACUGGAGGAGCUUUGUCAAGUCUGAGAAAAUCCCUGGUUAUGUCAUAGUGAUGUCAUCAGGAUUAUCUCAGCCACAAAUUUCUAACAGCAACUACAAUAUCAUACUAUGAACUAAAAGUAUUUCUAAUCAUCUGCUGCUUCGAUUUUUACCAUUCAUUCUUUUAAAGCCAAUAUGUAUAGCUUAUUAUUUCAUUAUAGCUUCUUCCAAGUGAUCCUGACAGCAUAAGUACACACAAUAGUAAAAGCACAGACAAGAGAAAUUCACUCCAAAUCAAUAAAUACCAAAACACAAUAUUCUUCAUUACAUUAUAGAAUAAAGAUUAUGGUAAGAAGAUAUUAUUAUAUUUGAAUGCUCCUUCAAACAUCAGAGCUCACAUGUCUGAACAGUAAAGGACUACUGCGGACUGUGUAUAAUACUUAUUAUUUUUAAAUGUAUAUAUUGUUGAAGGCAGUUUUGCAUGUUUUAUUGUAUUGUUAGUAAAUUCACCUUUUUUAUUUUCUUUGUUUUUCCAAAAAUAGUUCAGUUUCGAGUUUGUCAAAUUGUCUGUUUUCAUUGUGAUCUCAGCAAUAAAAUCUGACAGCGACUCGUAAGGGAAGAAAGUCAAAGAAAGUUGUGAAUGGGGUCCUGACUGUUGAGAAUAUUUCUUAGGUGUCAAGACAGGUCUAGCUUAGUGUAAUGUAGUUGACCCCAUAAGUGUUUGACAUUAUAGCUUUAGGUAGUUCUCACAUGUACUUGUCCUCGUCAAGAAGACAACAAUAGACUGAUUAGCUAAAGACAGUAGCUCAGACGUCAGGCUAGCAGAUAUCAGUGUUCUCUGGGAAUCUUACAAGGUUGAGCCAUACAAGAAUGUUUACAAGAACUAACUCCACAAUUCCACAGAUUAGAGUACAACUCAUGGAUAGUGAUAGAUUCCAAUAUGACGAAGCAUUGGAAUCUAAACAUCAGAUAGAUAGUUGUUCUAGGUGAAGGUGACCUAAUAAAGAAACCUACAGGCACUAGGUGGCAGACAGAAACAUAAAAGGGACCACAAGAUGUUCUCCUUCAGAUUUGGUGUUGGCAUUUGACGUGUUCACAUGUUGUAUGCUGGCACUGUAUCUCCUCAAACCAUGCUAAGUCUUCAUCAGUCUCUAAAACUUCUUCACACCUGACAGCUGGCUCACAAUAAUUCUCAACACUGACCAAAACUAGGGCUCCCUGGUGGUUUGUGGUUAAAGCACCAACCAUAAACUGCAGCGUCCCUGGUUUGUGUCUGGCCGGGGACCCUGGUUACAUGUCAUCCCUAGUCUCUCUCUCCACUCAUUUCCUGUCAUCUCACUACUUUCAACUAUCCAGUAAAGACAUACAUACAAUACCCUACACAUUGUUGGAGUUUCUUUUCACUGUGGGUACCAGUAAAUGAGCAGAAAUCCAAUAUAUUUUCAGAACAUGUAUUAAUCUGGAUUUUUUUGUUGAUUAAAAUGCCAUCUCUCUUCUUUAAACUA